GAUGAACGCUGGCGGCGUGCCUAAUACAUGCAAGUCGAGCGAACAGACGAGGAGCUUGCUCCUCUGAUGUUAGCGGCGGACGGGUGAGUAACACGUGGAUAACCUACCUAUAAGACUGGGAUAACUUCGGGAAACCGGAGCUAAUACCGGAUAACAUGUUGAACCGCAUGGUUCAACAGUGAAAGACGGUCUUGCUGUCACUUAUAGAUGGAUCCGCGCCGCAUUAGCUAGUUGGUAAGGCAACGGCUUACCAAGGCAACGAUGCGUAGCCGACCUGAGAGGGUGAUCGGCCACACUGGAACUGAGACACGGUCCAGACUCCUACGGGAGGCAGCAGUAGGGAAUCUUCCGCAAUGGGCGAAAGCCUGACGGAGCAACGCCGCGUGAGUGAAGAAGGUCUUCGGAUCGUAAAACUCUGUUAUUAGGGAAGAACAAAUGUGUAAGUAACUAUGCACGUCUUGACGGUACCUAAUCAGAAAGCCACGGCUAACUACGUG
rnacentral:rRNA from 1 species